GUUUUAGAGAGAAGGCCAAAUGGCCUUUUCUUUUCAUUUUUCGAAAAGAGGCAGGGCCUCUUCUUAUUUUUCUUAAUGAUUUUUAUAGAAAAUUUUUGAUCUACGAAGAUCCAACGGUCCGAUCUUCAAUCUGAUUUCGGUAACGUGAUCUACGAAACUCAAUCUACGUUUCUACCGAUUGGUUUGAGGAUUUGUUGUGGGGAGUUUGCUAAACACUCUCCAAGUGUUGGAUUUACAUUUGGUGGAAUUUUUGUGAUACAUUGCAAGGUGGUGUCUAGGAGACCUAGUGCUUAAAUCCGCGCAACCAAGACGUUAAUACUUUGGUUGCAGGUUUUGCAGAUAUAGAUAUUGACUCGUCCACCUAGCACAUGGGAUGCUAUGAUUGGAGCAUAUCGCGACAGUCAUAAGUCACGGACUCAUGGGUAGUCCGUAUUUUGGGUAUUUUAUUUAUGCCUCGUGUCCUACGUGGCACAUGUAUUUGUUGAGCCUGUGUUAUGGUAUGUAAUUAGUGUAAUGUGUUUUAUAAGCCUUAAAUAGAUAGACUUGUAAAUGACUCUUGUUGUAAAUAAUCGUCAUGUAUUAGAUGUAUUUUCGCUUAUGAUGUGUUCCGCUGCACAUUGAUUAUUU